rnacentral:rRNA from 1 species
UCGAACGCUUUGUUUUUAAUUGAUAUGAAGAGCUUGCUCUGAUUUGAUUUUAUCUGACAAAGAGUGGCGAACGGGUGAGUAACACGUGGGUAACCUACCUCUUAGCAGGGGAUAACUUUUGGAAACAAGUGCUAAUACCGUAUAACACUAACAACCGCAUGGUUGUUAGUUGAAAGAUGGUUCUGCUAUCACUAAGAGAUGGACCCGCGGUGCAUUAGCUAGUUGGUAAGGUAAUGGCUUACCAAGGCGAUGAUGCGUAGCCGAGUUGAGAGACUGAUCGGCCACAAUGGGACUGAGACACGGCCCAUACUCCUACGGGAGGCAGCAGUAGGGAAUCUUCCACAAUGGGCGCAAGCCUGAUGGAGCAACGCCGCGUGUGUGAUGAAGGGUUUCGGCUCGUAAAACACUGUUAUAAGAGAAGAACGACAUUGAGAGUAACUGUUCAGUGUGUGACGGUAUCUUAUCAGAAAGGAACGGCUAAAUACGUGCCAGCAGCCGCGGUAAUACGUAUGUUCCAAGCGUUAUCCGGAUUUAUUGGGCGUAAAGCGAGCGCAGACGGUUAUUUAAGUCUGAAGUGAAAGCCCUCAGCUCAACUGAGGAAGGGCUUUGGAAACUGGAUAACUUGAGUGCAGUAGAGGAAAGUGGAACUCCAUGUGUAGCGGUGAAAUGCGUAGAUAUAUGGAAGAACACCGGUGGCGAAAGCGGCUUUCUGGACUGUAACUGACGUUGAGGCUCGAAAGUGUGGGUAGCAAACAGGAUUAGAUACCCUGGUAGUCCACACCGUAAACGAUGAGUGCUAGAUGUUCGAGGGUUUCCGCCCUUGAGUGUCGCAGCUAACGCAUUAAGCACUCCGCCUGGGGAGUACGACCGCAAGGUUGAAACUCAAAGGAAUUGACGGGGA